rnacentral:rRNA from 1 species
CUCCGUGACUCCUACGGGAGGCAGCAGUGGGGAAUAUUGCACAAUGGGGGAAACCCUGAUGCAGCCAUGCCGCGUGUGUGAAGAAGGCCUUCGGGUUGUAAAGCACUUUCAGUAGGGAGGAAGGUAGUGUAGUUAACACCUGCACUAUUUGACGUUACCUACAGAAGAAGCACCGGCUAACUCCGUGCCAGCAGCCGCGGUAAUACGGAGGGUGCGAGCGUUAAUCGGAAUUACUGGGCGUAAAGCGCAUGCAGGCGGCCUGUUAAGUCAGAUGUGAAAGCCCGGGGCUCAACCUCGGAACUGCAUUUGAAACUGGCAGACUAGAGUACUGUAGAGGGGGUAGAAUUUCAGGUGUAGCGGUGAAAUGCGUAGAGAUCUGAAGGAAUACCGGUGGCGAAGGCGGCCCCCUGGACAGAUACUGACACUCAGAUGCGAAAGCGUGGGGAGCAAACAGGAUUAGAUACCCUGGUAG